UACAUUCCAUGCCCCCCGGCGACGUAUAAGCUCCGGUGGUUGUCUUGAUUUAUUGUGUGGAAAGAGCUCAUAUGCUAUUUGGUUNGUCNGGUGUGAAAACUCUGGGCUCAACCCAAACACGCCCUCCNAUACUGUAGUGACUAGCUUUCNUGAGGGGAGGGGGAAAGUCCUUCCGGANGGGUGAAUGGCNCGNAUAUAUNGAGGAACACCCGUGGCNAAGGCGCGGCUCUGGACGGGAACUGACNCUNAGGAACGAAAGCAUGGGUAGGGAACAGGAUUAAAUACCCUGGUUGUCCAUGCCGUAAACGGUGGGCACUAGGUGUGGGUUCCAACUAACGGGAUCCGCGCCGUCGCUAACGCAUUAANUGCCCCCCCNGGGGAGUACGGCCACA
rnacentral:rRNA from 1 species